rnacentral:rRNA from 1 species
UACAGGGGGUGCAAACGUUGCUCGGAAUCAUUGGGCGUAAAGCGCACGUAGGCGGUCUGUUAUGUCGGAUGUGAAAGCCCUCGGCUUAACUGAGGAAGUGCAUCCGAAACUGGCAGGCUAGAGUACUAAAGAGGGUCGCGGAAUUCCCGGUGUAGAGGUGAAAUUCGUAGAUAUCAGGAAGAACACCCGUGGCGAAAGCGGCUCUCUGGAACGGUACUGACGCUGAGACGCGAAAGCGUGGGGAGCGAACAGG